UACGUAGGGGGCAAGCGUUGUCCGGAUUUAUUGGGCGUAAAGAGCGUGUAGGCGGCUAGGUAGGUCCGUUGUGAAAACUCGAGCUCAACCUCGAGACGCCGGUGGAAACCAUCUAGCUAGAGUCCGGAAGAGGAGAAUGGAAUUCCUGGUGUAGCGGUGAAAUGCGCAGAUAUCAGGAAGAACACCCGUGGCGAAGGCGGUUCUCUGGGACGGUACUGACGCUGGAGACGCGAAAGCGUGGGGAGCGAACAGG
rnacentral:rRNA from 1 species